rnacentral:pre_miRNA from 1 species
AUACUAUUCUCUCCGUUCGGAAAUACUUGUCCUAGAAAUAGAUAUAUCUAGACUUAUUUUAGUUAUAGAUACAUCAGUUUUAUACAUUUCUAAGACAAGUAUUUUCGGACGGAGGAAGUACUAU